UACGAAGGGGGCUAGCGUGCUCGGAAUGACUGGGCGUAAAGGGCGCGUAGGCGGCUUGCACCGUCAGAUGUGAAAUUCCUGGGCUUAACCUGGGGGCUGCAUUUGAUACGUGUGGGCUUGAGUGCGGAAGAGGGUCGUGGAAUUCCCAGUGUAGAGGUGAAAUUCGUAGAUAUUGGGAGGAACACCGGUGGCGAAGGCGGCCCUCUGGACCGGUACUGACGCUGAUGCGCGAAAGCGUGGGUAGCAAACGGGG
rnacentral:rRNA from 1 species